rnacentral:rRNA from 1 species
UCAACCUGGUUGAUCCUGCCAGUAGUCAUAUGCUUCGUUCAAGGGCUAAGCCAUGCACGUCUCAGCGCAAAUGGUGCAACAGUGGAUCUGUGAAUGGCUCCUUACAUCAGCAGUCAUCUACGUGAUGGAGUGUGCUUGGUCAAUCGCAGUGGAUCCCUUUGGACAUCCACCAAAACCUUGUGGCUAAUACACGC